rnacentral:rRNA from 1 species
CAACUUUCAACAACGGAUCUCUUGGCUCUCGCAUCGAUGAAGAACGCAGCGAAAUGCGAUACGUAAUGUGAAUUGCAGAAUUCAGUGAAUCAUCGAAUCUUUGAACGCACAUUGCACUCUCUGGUAUUCCGGAGAGUAUGCUUGUUUGAGA